UACGUAGGUGGCUAGCGUUGUCCGGAUUUACUGGGCGUAAAGAGCGCGCAGGCGGUCGUUCAAGUCGAGUGUGAAAGCCCCCGGCUCAACUGGGGAGGGUCACGCGAUACUGAUCGACUCGAAGGCAGGAGAGGGUAGUGGAAUUCCCGGUGUAGUGGUGAAAUGCGUAGAUAUCGGGAGGAACACCAGUGGCGAAGGCGAGUCUCUGGACGACUCCUGACACUGAGGCACGAAAGCUAGGGGAGCAAACAGG
rnacentral:rRNA from 1 species